ACAACCACACAGGUCAGUGUUUAAUCAAUUGGCAAAUUAUAAAUCUUAAUCGGUUGGUUGGUUAGUUGGUUAGUUGGUUAGUUGGUCAAACAAUUUAAUGUGAAAAAAGAGUUGCUGAUGUUUUGUAGGACAGUAAGAAGCCGGAGAGGCAGGCAAGACCGAGAAAUCUAAAGUCCAAGACGGAGGAAUAGACAAGUUAUGACAGUAGUAGGGCUGUGCGAAAGUUAAUUCUGGGCAUUGCUGUGAUACUUUUGAGUUUUGGCUGACACUAAGUUGUUGGAAUAGUGAUUGAUUUGCAGAAUCGCAGAGCCUUACCAUCAAAGAACAUCCAUAUAUAACUUCCAUUCAAGUGGCUUUAGAGAAUUAUAAUAACAUUGAGCAACUGAGCUGUUUCGCAGAAGAUAGCAAUUGAGCAACUGUGUGUAUUAAUUAAUUAAUUGAUAGAAGAUAACGAGGUAAUGAAUUCAAAUCACAAAAAUAGCUUAUUCUAUUUCCUUGCAUCAAAACACAAUAAAACAGGCAGUAAGCUCUGGAAUUCAAAUGCAUACUGUAACUCUGUAAACUUACAGACAG
rnacentral:lncRNA from 1 species